rnacentral:rRNA from 1 species
UACGACUACAUAUCAGGCAUAUCAAUAAGCGGAGGAAAAGAAACUAACUAAGGAUUCCCUCAGUAACGGCGAGUGAAGCGGGAAGAGCUCAAAUUUGAAAUCUUCAAGGUUCUACCUUGACGAAUUGUAGUUUAAAGAAGUGUUUUCUGUUGAAGUUUUGGUAAAAGUUCUUUGGAAUAGGACAUCAUAGAGGGUGAGAAUCCCGUAUUUGACCAUUAUUUUCAGCUGUGUGAUACACUUUCAAAGAGUCGGAUUGUUUGGGAAUGCAGUCCAAAAUGGGUGGUAAAUUUCAUCUAAAGCUAAAUAUUGGCGAGAGACCGAUAGCGAACAAGUACCGUGAGGGAAAGAUGAAAAGAACUUUGAAAAGAGAGUUAAACAGUACGUGAAAUUGUCAAAAGGGAAGCGUUUGACACCAGUGUUGUUUUCUCGAAAAUCAAUUAAAAAAAGUUGGAUUUUGUGUUGUAUUGACCUUAACAGCUUGCUUCACUCUUUUCCAGCUUUUUUUAAUGCACUUUUCGUUUAACAAGUCAACAUCAGUUUCUUUUGUUGUAAAAGGGUCAUUGGAAGGUGGCUUUCUCUUCGGAGAAAGUGUUUAUAGCCUUUGAUCUCUGCAAUCGGAGAGACUGAGGUCUGCAGCGUAGAUCCUUCGGGGUUAGAUACAUUUGUGCUAAGCUACAGCUUUUCAUAGACAACUUGUUGACUAUGUUUAGUCUUGUAACUUACCCGCUUAUGCUAUUUUACCUACGCUUAGGAUGUUGAGCGCAUGUCUCUCUCU